rnacentral:rRNA from 1 species
GCAGUCGAGCGGUAGCACAGAGAGCUUGCUCUCGGGUGACGAGCGGCGGACGGGUGAGUAAUGUCUGGGAAACUGCCUGAUGGAGGGGGAUAACUACUGGAAACGGUAGCUAAUACCGCAUAAUGUCGCAAGACCAAAGUGGGGGACCUUCGGGCCUCAUGCCAUCAGAUGUGCCCAGAUGGGAUUAGCUAGUAGGUGGGGUAACGGCUCACCUAGGCGACGAUCCCUAGCUGGUCUGAGAGGAUGACCAGCCACACUGGAACUGAGACACGGUCCAGACUCCUACGGGAGGCAGCAGUGGGGAAUAUUGCACAAUGGGCGCAAGCCUGAUGCAGCCAUGCCGCGUGUGUGAAGAAGGCCUUCGGGUUGUAAAGCACUUUCAGCGGGGAGGAAGGCGUUAAGGUUAAUAACCUUGGCGAUUGACGUUACCCGCAGAAGAAGCACCGGCUAACUCCGUGCCAGCAGCCGCGGUAAUACGGAGGGUGCAAGCGUUAAUCGGAAUUACUGGGCGUAAAGCGCACGCAGGCGGUCUGUCAAGUCGGAUGUGAAAUCCCCGGGCUCAACCUGGGAACUGCAUUCGAAACUGGCAGGCUAGAGUCUUGUAGAGGGGGGUAGAAUUCCAGGUGUAGCGGUGAAAUGCGUAGAGAUCUGGAGGAAUACCGGUGGCGAAGGCGGCCCCCUGGACAAAGACUGACGCUCAGGUGCGAAAGCGUGGGGAGCAAACAGGAUUAGAUACCCUGGUAGUCCACGCCGUAAACGAUGUCGAUUUGGAGGUUGUGCCCUUGAGGCGUGGCUUCCGGAGCUAACGCGUUAAAUCGACCGCCUGGGGAGUACGGCCGCAAGGUUAAAACUCAAAUGAAUUGACGGGGGCCCGCACAAGCGGUGGAGCAUGUGGUUUAAUUCGAUGCAACGCGAAGAACCUUACCUGGUCUUGACAUCCACAGAACUUAGCAGAGAUGCUUUGGUGCCUUCGGGAACUGUGAGACAGGUGCUGCAUGGCUGUCGUCAGCUCGUGUUGUGAAAUGUUGGGUUAAGUCCCGCAACGAGCGCAACCCUUAUCCUUUGUUGCCAGCGGUCCGGCCGGGAACUCAAAGGAGACUGCCAGUGAUAAACUGGAGGAAGGUGGGGAUGACGUCAAGUCAUCAUGGCCCUUACGACCAGGGCUACACACGUGCUACAAUGGCAUAUACAAAGAGAAGCGACCUCGCGAGAGCAAGCGGACCUCAUAAAGUAUGUCGUAGUCCGGAUUGGAGUCUGCAACUCGACUCCAUGAAGUCGGAAUCGCUAGUAAUCGUAGAUCAGAA